rnacentral:rRNA from 1 species
AGCGAACGCUGGCGACAGGCUUAACACAUGCAAGUCGAACGGGCGUAGCAAUACGUCAGUGGCAGACGGGUGAGUAACGCGUGGGAACGUACCUUUUGGUUCGGAACAACACAGGGAAACUUGUGCUAAUACCGGAUAAGCCCUUACGGGGAAAGAUUUAUCGCCAAAAGAUCGGCCCGCGUCUGAUUAGCUAGUUGGUGAGGUAACGGCUCACCAAGGCGACGAUCAGUAGCUGGUCUGAGAGGAUGAUCAGCCACAUUGGGACUGAGACACGGCCCAAACUCCUACGGGAGGCAGCAGUGGGGAAUAUUGGACAAUGGGCGAAAGCCUGAUCCAGCCAUGCCGCGUGAGUGAUGAAGGCCCUAGGGUUGUAAAGCUCUUUUGUGCGGGAAGAUAAUGACGGUACGCAAGAAUAAGCCCCGGCUAACUUCGUGCCAGCAGCCGCUGUAAG